ACUCAAAUGAAUAGACGGGGGCCCGCACAAGCAGCGGAGCAUGUGGUUUAAUUGGACGCAACGCCAAGAACCUUACCCGGGCUUGACAUGUUCCUGACCGCCCUGGAAACAGGGUUUCCCUUCGGGGCAGGAUCACAGGUGGUGCAUGGCUGUCGUCAGCUCGUGUCGUGAGAUGUUGGGUUAAGUCCCGCAACGAGCGCAACCCCCGUCGUAUGUUGCCAGCAUUAAGUUGGGGACUCAUACGAGACUGCCGGCGACAAGCCGGAGGAAGGCGGGGAUGACGUCAAGUCAUCAUGCCCCUUAUGUCCGGGGCUACACACGUGCUACAUUGGCGCAUACAGAGGGCAGCAAGACCGCGAGGUGGAGCGAAUCCCUCAAAGUGCGUCUCGGUUCGGAUUGUAGGCUGAAACUCGCCUACAUGAAGGUGGAGUUGCUAGUAAUCGCGGAUCAGCAUUGCCGCGGUGAAUACGUUCCCGGGCCUUGCACACACCGCCCGU
rnacentral:rRNA from 1 species